rnacentral:rRNA from 1 species
GACGUGACUUCAGAGUUUGAUCCUGGCUCAGGACGUUAACGCUGGCGGCGUGCCUAACACAUGCAAGUCGAACGAAGCACUGUGGAUGGAGACUUCGGUCAACUGAAACUUUGACUUAGUGGCGGACGGGUGAGUAACGCGUGAGGAACCUGCCUUUCAGAGGGGGACAACAGUUGGAAACGACUGCUAAUACCGCAUAAUGCAGCGAGACCGCAUGAUCUUGCUGCCAAAGAUUUAUCGCUGAAAGAUGGCCUCGCGUCUGAUUAGAUAGUUGGUGGGGUAACGGCCCACCAAGUCGACGAUCAGUAGCCGGACUGAGAGGUUGAACGGCCACAUUGGGACUGAGAUACGGCCCAG